rnacentral:rRNA from 1 species
UACGAAGGGGGCUAGCGUUGCUCGGAAUCACUGGGCGUAAAGGGUGCGUAGGCGGGUCUUUUAAGUCAGGGGUGAAAUCCUGGAGCUCAACUCCAGAACUGCCUUUGAUACUGAAGAUCUUGAGUUCGGGAGAGGUGAGUGGAACUGCGAGUGUAGAGGUGAAAUUCGUAGAUAUUCGCAAGAACACCAGUGGCGAAGGCGGCUCACUGGCCCGAUACUGACGCUGAGGCACGAAAGCGUGGGGAGC